rnacentral:rRNA from 1 species
GUCUACGGCCAUACCACCCUGAACGCCCCCAAUCUCGUCUGAUCUCGGAAGCUAAGCAGGGUUGGGCCUGGUUAGUACUUGGAUGGGAGACCGAAACAAUUUUGAAAAAGAGGAGCACGGGAGAAC